rnacentral:rRNA from 1 species
UGAAUACGAGAUGCUAAGGCGUCGAAGUAGUGUAUGUCAUACUUCCAAGAAAAGCUUGCACUGUCAUAAAUAAAAAUGCCUGUACCAUAACCGACACAGGUGGGUAAGUAGAGUAUACUAAGGGGCGCGAGAUAACUCUCUCUAAGGAGGUCGGCAAAAUAACUCCGUAACUUCGGGAGAAGGAGUGCCUUAUUCUUAAGGUUGCAAUAACAAGAUCCAAGCAACUGUUUAUCAAAAACACAGGCCUCCGCUAAGUCGUAAGACGAUGUAUGGGGGCUGACGCCUGCCCAGUGCCAGAAGGUUAAAGAAGUUGGUUAGCAAUUGCGAAGCUGGUAACUGAAGCCCUGGUGAACGGCGGCCGUAACAAUAACGGUCCUAAGGUAGCGAAAUUCCUUGUCGGGUAAGUUCCGACCCGCACGAAAGGCGUAAUGAUUUGGAUGCUGUCUCGGAGAGGGGCUCGGUGAAAUAGACUUGUCUGUGAAGAUGCGGACUACCUGCACCAGGACAGAAAGACCCUAUGAAGCUUUACUGUAACUUGAAAUUGAAAUUGGACUUUAUUUGCGCAGUAUAGGUGGGAGGCGUUGAUUAUAAUCUUGCGGGAUUAUUGGAGCCAUCAGUGAGAUACCACUCUUGUAAUGUUAGAUUUCUAACUUUGAAUCAUUAUCUGGUCAAAGGACAAUUUCAGGCGGGCAGUUUGACUGGGGCGGUCGCCUCCUAAAUGGUAACGGAGGCGUACAAAGGUUUCCUCUGAACGGUUAGAAAUCGUAUCUAGAGUGUAAAGGCAUAAGGAAGCUUGACUGUGAGACCUACAAGUCGAGCAGGGACGAAAGUCGGUCUUAGUGAUCUGACGGUACUGAGUGGAAAGGCCGUCACUCAACGGAUAAAAGUUACUCUAGGAUAACAGGCUGAUCUCCCCCAAGAGUUCACAUCGACGGGGAGGUUUGGCACCUCGAUGUCGGCUCAUCGCAUCCUGGGGCGGUAGUACGUCCCAAGGGUUGGGCUGUUCGCCCAUGAAAGCGGUACGCGAGCUGGGUUCAGAACGUCGUGAGACAGUUCGGUCCAUAUCCGGUGUAGGCGUUAGAAUAUUGAGAGGAGCCUUCUUUAGUACGAGAGGACCGAGAAGGACAUACCUCUGGUGUACCAGUUAUCGUGCCAACGGUAAACGCUGGGUAGCUAUGUAUGGAGUGGAUAACCGCUGAAAGCAUCUAAGUGGGAAGCCCACCUCAAGAUAAGUA